AGCGAACGCUGGCGGCAGGCCUAACACAUGCAAGUCGAACGAACUCUUCGGAGUUAGUGGCGGACGGGUGAGUAACACGUGGGAACGUGCCUUUAGGUUCGGAAUAACUCAGGGAAACUUGUGCUAAUACCGAGUGUGCCCUUCGGGGGAAAGAUUUAUCGCCUUUAGAGCGGCCCGCGUCUGAUUAGCUAGUUGGUGAGGUAAAGGCUCACCAAGGCGACGAUCAGUAGCUGGUCUGAGAGGAUGAUCAGCCACAUUGGGACUGAGACACGGCCCAAACUCCUACGGGAGGCAGCAGUGGGGAAUCUUGCGCAAUGGGCGAAAGCCUGACGCAGCCAUGCCGCGUGAAUGAUGAAGGUCUUAGGAUUGUAAAAUUCUUUCACCGGGGACGAUAAUGACGGUACCCGGAGAAGAAGCCCCGGCUAACUUCGUG
rnacentral:rRNA from 1 species